rnacentral:rRNA from 1 species
AAGUCCCGUAACGAGCGCAACCCUCGCCCUUAGUUGCCAGCAUUCAGUUGGGCACUCUAAGGGGACUGCCGGUGAUAAGCCGAGAGGAAGGUGGGGAUGACGUCAAGUCCUCAUGGCCCUUACGGGCUGGGCUACACACGUGCUACAAUGGUGGUGACAGUGGGCAGCGAGACCGCGAGGUCGAGCUAAUCUCCAAAAGCCAUCUCAGUUCGGAUUGCACUCUGCAACUCGAGUGCAUGAAGUUGGAAUCGCUAGUAAUCGCAGAUCAGCAUGCUGCGGUGAAUACGUUCCCGGGCCUUGUACACACCGCCCGU